rnacentral:rRNA from 1 species
AUUGAACGCUGGCGGCAGGCUUAACACAUGCAAGUCGAGCGGGGGAAGGUAGCUUGCUACCGGACCUAGCGGCGGACGGGUGAGUAAUGCUUAGGAAUCUGCCUAUUAGUGGGGGACAACAUCUCGAAAGGGAUGCUAAUACCGCAUACGUCCUACGGGAGAAAGCAGGGGAUCUUCGGACCUUGCGCUAAUAGAUGAGCCUAAGUCGGAUUAGCUAGUUGGUGGGGUAAAGGCCUACCAAGGCGACGAUCUGUAGCGGGUCUGAGAGGAUGGUCCGCCACACUGGGACUGGAGCACGGCCCAGACUCCUACGGGAGGCAGCAGUGGGGAAUAUUGGACAAUGGGGGGAACCCUGAUCCAGCCAUGCCGCGUGUGUGAAGAAGGCCUUAUGGUUGUAAAGCACUUUAAGCGAGGAGGAGGCUACUUUAGUUAAUACCUAGAGAUAGUGGACGUUACUCGCAGAAUAAGCACCGGCUAACUCUGUGCCAGCCGCCGCAGUAA